CCUACGUGAGGCAGCAGUGGGGAAUAUUGCACAAUGGGGGAAACCCUGAUGCAGCGACGCCGCGUGAGUGAAGAAGUAUUUCGGUAUGUAAAGCUCUAUCAGCAGGGAAGAAAAUGACGGUACCUGAUUCAGAAGCACCGGCUACCUACGUGCCAGCAGCCGCGGUAAUACGUAGGGGGCAAGCGUUAUCCGGAUUUACUGGGUGGAAAGGGAGCGUCGACGGUGAUGCAAGUCAGAAGUGAAAGGCCGGGGCUCAAAUCCGGGACUGCUUUUGAAACUGUGUGACUGGAGUGCAGGAGAGGUAAGCGGAAUUCCUGGUGUAGCGGUGAAAUGCGUAGAUAUCAGGAGGAACACCAGGGGCGAAGGCGGCUUACUGGACUGUAACUGACGUUGAGGCUCGAAAGCGUGGGGAGCAAACAGGAUUAGAUACCCCUGUAGUC
rnacentral:rRNA from 1 species